CCUUCACUUAGGUUUUUGUCUACAGCUCCUCUCUGUUCAUGGCGAGCUAUGAGCACGAUUUUGCUGGUGCCUUUCGUGUACUCCGACGAAGCAAGCCAUUGGCUUUCUUCUUGAACGACCAACUAGUAUAUCCUUCAAAGCAGUGGUACCGGAUCCAUCGCCAAGAUUUGAGAACGAAACGCCAAGUAAGAAUCAUUCAAAAUCAGAAGGAAUCUAGUUGUUUUCUCCCUUUCCUUCAUCAAUUUGUACUGCUGUAACGUUGUCUCGGGUCCCUUGGGCUUUUCCUCUGUUGCCUCCAGUUCAUUCCAAAGAGCUGACAGCUUGUUGAAGCACGUCGCAGUAGACAUGUUUCCUUGCUUUAGAUCUGAGAGUGCCUAGGUGAGCAAGAAGAUUUUCGCUCAAUCCAACUUGCCGUACAUCUCCUUAAUGUUGUCCCACAUAUUUUUUGCCUCCUCUGUGGAAGGUAAGCCGGCCGCUACUUCAAGGGAAAUAUAAUUCCCAAUCCAUGCUCUCACAAGUUGAUUGCACUUUUUUCAUUGUUGUAUCAUCCUUUCGUCCUUCGGGAUUGGAAUGGUCCCAUUGAUAAAACCUUAUUUAUCCUUCGUGACGAGAGCUCGCCGAAGUUCUUGUGCGCAAGUCGAGUAGUUUUCCGAUUCGAUCAACUGGAGAGUGAUUAGUCGAAUUUCUGGUCCAUCGGCUAUGGAGACGAACCGGGGGUCGUCAUGCUCUGGGCGACUAGUCAUGGCCGAGAUUGAAUAUGGGAAGAAACCAAGCGGGGGAAACGGGUAGGGAUUUCCACCCAUACCCGGAUUACUCAACCCGGUUGUCUAUCCCGCAUUGUGAAAACUCGACCCAGUUGUCUGCCCCGCAUUGUGAAAACCAGCACCCGCAUCUCCUGACCUAGUCAGUUGCCCAGCAAGGAAGGAUCCCGUCCCAGUAGUUGGACUUGCCCGUUCGCGGCUGGCAGGUCACCACUGGACCGGGUGCUGUUCUCGUGGGUUUGAUUCCCUGACCACGAGGCGUUUAGGGUUGACCCAUAAUACCAAGGAUUGGGCUGCAUCUAAACGGGCAGCCACUAAAACGGUUGGCCCAUAAAGGGUUGCCCCAGAUUCGGCUUGGCCUGUGGUGAUGGCCAUUGCAUAUGCUAGGCUUGGAUGGGCUGCUCUCGGCUUCCAACAACUCUAGCAAGUGGGUUUUUAAGGUUAGUGUGCCCUUUGUUGCAAGAACAGAGAAGAUGGCAGGCGAUCAAUCGAUGAAGAAGGCGGAAGCUAAAUCAAGAGCACAACUACUCUGACACCAUGAAAGGAAACGAGGCAGACAAAAAAGGAGCAAGAAGAACAGAUUUUAGGGGAAGAUUUUUGUAUUUCUUUUCAUUGAAUUUGAAAGUGUACAGAUCUUUGUAAUUAUAGUACAUGAUGUAUACAAACGAAGGGAAAGAAAAUAAUCAAAGAUACCCACUGGUGGGUAACUGUGCUGGUUGGGCUCUA